AGAAGAGCAUAGCUACUAGCUAGUUGCCCAGUUCGAUUGAUCGCCGGGCCUCCAUGUCCACGAUGAUGAGGAAGCUUGUGGCGGCCGUGCUCCUGGUUCUCAUGGCGACGUCCGGCUCGUGGACCCGGGCGGCCGCGAGGCCGUUGCAAGAUGGUCGAGUGCACGACGGCGAACCCUCCCCCGGCGGCCCCGCCGGCAUUGUGCUGCCGUCGCCGACGCGCUGGCGUGGGCACGCGCUAUCUCAGCUGGAGGAAAAGGGACCCAAUCCCAAAGGGUGUCCGAGAAGUAACAGUGGUCACAUAGGUUGUUCCACGCCAUAGAGAUGCAUGCGCGGACACGAGUCACACGACGCGCGGGGAAUCAUCGUAUCUUGCAUCGGAGCUGAAUAUGCAUGAAGUACCUACAGCUACUCCAACGACAUAUAUUUCGGUACGGAGGGACUAUAUCAGUGUGACGUACGGAUCGUUAGAGUUCAUAACUCGAUCCGGUUGUUAAUUUGUUUACACCAUGCGUGUUUCCUUUACUUUUCGCUGGAGUUCGGACUUACCGGCAACAGAAGAAAAAUCAUGUACCCC
rnacentral:rRNA from 1 species